GGCUUUUAUCCCCUUCCGUAAGCCCUUUUUUUUUUUUUUACAUUUCUAGUAAAAUUUAUAGGUGAUGUUAUUUGUACAAUAUGAACAAUUACGUUGUCCAAAGAGUUUGUUUAAGGCUAAUUACUAAAAGCUUGAUCUUAACCAUUACAGUCUGAUGAAGAGUCCAGUUCUUUGUCCUUCAUGAAUUUUCCUUUUGUUUGCUUAUUAGCUUUGAGUAAUCUGUUCCAUGUUCUUUCAAAUGACAGAAGCAAUUAGUUGCUGAGAACUAAAUUCUGGGUUGAUUAUAUUCUCUCUGAAGUAGUUUUACAAAAUAAAGUUCAGUCUUUGUGCUGGUUGAUAGCUAACAGUAGCUUUCUACCUUAUUUUUUUUUAGGUAAUGAGCUGUGGGAUAUACAGAAAGGAUGUACUUAUUUGGAUUGGGUGGGAGCACGCCUCCAACCUUUGGUGUUUUAUAUCCUCUAACUUACAUGCAGUUCCUUAACAUGAGUCUGGCUAGAAAUCUGGUUCUUUAGUAUUUUUUUUUGUUGAGUGUCGGCACGCCUUCUUUAAAAUCAGUUUCCUUUAGAGCUCUAAAAAGCUUCUCAUAAGGUGGAGGAUAAAAAAUUGGGGAUCAAUUGAAAUAGCACCUAAAAUCAACUUUUUCAUGUUGAUCAUGUUCUUUAAUUGAAAAAGUGAUUGGCAUUUAUUAGACUGUAGUUGUUGAUCUUUAGUCAUUAGUUUGCACUGAAAAAUGCAAAGUUAAAUUUUUCAAAGUUGUUUUUUCCCCCCUAUAAAAUAUAGGAAAGUUAGGUGUAACAUAAUCAUGUUAACUAGGUCUGUUUUCUAGUAACUCUAGAAUGACAGCUGUUCUUUGAGGGGAAAAUAUUUUUUCCCAUUUUGAAGUAGCUUAGUGGUGUAGUGUCUUCAGAGUUUGAGGAGAGCUGGUUCCAUUUGUAGCUUAUUUGCAUGUAAAGUAGCUUUACUGAAAUUCUUCAAGAAGAUUCUUUACUUUCUGUCCAGAUUUGAUUGUGACUCAGUGCAUAAGUCUGAUUGCACCUAGUGUCUCAGAGUGAAUCAGCAGCUGUAAAGUUUUGUCACUUAUUUUUUUUAGCUCUUGGUCAAUAUAAACGUUGGCACACUUUUUGUUGAUUUAGUGUAAGCCCCUGCACUUCAGCUCUGUGUUUUGGGGGAGUGGGGAGGGCUGAUAAGCAGUAUCGUAGCUACUCCAGGAUUUCCCCAUUAACAAGUGUGCUUUACUGGAGCUUAAACGAAGAAAGGCAUGUGUUACGUAAACUUCAUUUCCUUUAGUCAAGGGUACAUAACCUAAGACAGUUCAGCUCUUCCCUGUGCGUUUUGUGUGCUGCUUUUGUGUAAUCACACAGUUCAUACACUGAAGGUACGUGCUACUUCUAAUGCUACUUUUAACACUCGACACUUUAAAGCUGGUAGUUAAUGUCAGUGCAGUUUAACAAAAUACAUAAAAUUCAAAGUUAUAUGAAGUCUUGAAAUCUGAAGACUCCGCUGAGGGCUGAAAAUCUACAUACCUCAAGAACUGGUGCAAAGUGAAUUUAAUACAACAGAUACUUGAAAACCGCCUGACUGGGGUAGGCAUGCUUCCCCAUGUACGUACAUGCAGGUAGAAUUCUUGACAGCGUAUUCCCCUUCUAAGGGUGGUAUGGGCUGUGAACACAAGGCUUGAAUAACUCAUUUAGAAAGCACAGAGG